rnacentral:tRNA from 1 species
UUCCUCAUGGCUCAGAAGGUAAAGAAUCUGCCUGCAAUGCAGGAAACCCAGGUUCAAUCCCUGAUUCGGGAA